AAUCAUGGCUCAGGAUGAACGCUAGCUACAGGCUUAACACAUGCAAGUCGAGGGGAAACGACAUCGAAAGCUUGCUUUUGAUGGGUGUCGACCGGCGCACGGGUGAGUAACGCGUAUCCAACCUGCCCACCACUUGGGGAUAACCUUGCGAAAGUAAGACUAAUACCCAAUGAUAUCUCUAGAAGACAUCUGAAAGAGAUUAAAGAUUUAUCGGUGAUGGAUGGGGAUGCGUCUGAUUAG
rnacentral:rRNA from 1 species